rnacentral:rRNA from 1 species
GUAGGUGGCAAGCGUUGUCCGGAAUUAUUGGGCGUAAAGCGCGCGCAGGCGGUUUUUAAGUCUGAUGUGAAAGCCCACGGCUCAACCGUGGAGGGUCAUUGGAAACUGGAGAACUUGAGUACAGAAGAGGAAAGCGGAAUUCCACGUGUAGCGGUGAAAUGCGUAGAGAUGUGGAGGAACACCAGUGGCGAAGGCGGCUUUCUGGUCUGUAACUGACGCUGAGGCGCGAAAGCGUGGGGAGCAAACAGGGAUUAGAUACCCUGGUAGUCCACGCCGUAAACGAUGAGUGCUAAGUGUUAGGGGGUUUCCCGCCCCUUAGUGCUGCAGCUAACGCAUUAAGCACUCCGCCUGGGGAGUACGGCCGCAAGGCUG